CCUGCUUGAAGAGGAAGGUUGCAUCACAUGACCCACUGUGGUUCCUUCCAACCCGACCCGUUCUGUGAUUCCCUUUGAGUCACACUAAAAAAGUUUUUCUUCUGCCAUGAAAUAGACAGGGCAGGAGAUAUUUCUCCCUCUUUGAUGCCUUUAUUAAAAGUGAUCAGCUCAAGGCUGGGAGGCCCGAUGGAUCCGCGGGUUCGCCGUCGCAGCUCCCUGGAGCGACUUGGAGAAGGAGACAAAUGCAGCUUUGUCCACUAAGUUCUCCAGAGCUGGCCCUGUAUGUGGUUGGUAUAUCCCUUCUCCACUUUCUCCUGUACUUUUCACAGUUGUAUCACCAAAGAAAUAUCAGAGUUACACAGACUGUUUCCAGGAUCUACUGCCUGCACAUUAAGUUCUUUGUCUCCCUCCAGAAAACUGCUAAGGUAGUCUCACAUGAGCUGGUCUCACACUGAAAUGCUGACAGUGUUUCCAUUCCCACAAGAGGGCACCAGGCACGGGAAAAUCCCUUCACAUUCAUUAAUAUCAGCCUUAUAGUUCAUCUCUACUUCUUAAUCACUUAUAGUACUAUAAUGCAUAAUAUCAAAUGAAACCCCUUUACAUCUACUACACAAAGAAAUUACCUUUCAGCCAAUUUAUACUCAUAAUUACCUAUGUUUAAACAUCUGUUUAUGACACUUGCUAUAUUUCACCUGUGUUCAGAGAGAUACUUUGCUAUCACAGUUAUAUCAAUGUUCUUGUCUAUUGACUAUGUGUGGACUCUUUCUCACACAGGAAAUUCACAUGGGCAAAAUUAAGCACUUUCUGAAACAAAGAAGGCAAAAGAUUGAUUGUACAUCUAGAAAUCUUCCUGAUUUCACAUGUGCAGUUCCCCUUUUCACCUGGAUCCAUCUCUUGUAGCAGGCAGGAUCUGCCUGAUUUGUGCCCUUGAAGCUGCUCCAGCCCUUAUCACCAUGGCAUCCCAUGGCAGAGAGCAGCUGUACUGGUGGAGUGACAUUGCCUUGCAAAUCAUCUCCAUGUAACUUGCCUGAUCUUACCUUCUGUCUACCCAGCCAGCACAAAACUUCUGCAGUUGUGAGCCUCCUGCACAAAGAAAGUUCUUCUUCAGCAAAAGUGGAAUCUAAAGCUGGUUUUCCCACAUGGACACUCUUACUUCAGGGGAAAAAAAAAGUCCUUUGUGACGGAGUUUCACUCCUAUUGUCUUUGUGUCUGGCAUUUGAACCUACAAGAGGCAAUCUUUAUUGAAGGAUUUCUCAUCAGUGUUUGUCCGAUUUUCAAGAUAAUUUCGCAACUGGGGUUCUAUGUGCUGGGAGAAAAGUUUGUUUCAAAGUAGUUACAUGGAUUUGUAAUCUUGGAGUUCUAAAACUGCUGUGAACCAUGUCUACUUGACGUCAUCUGUGCGCAAACAAGUCCCUGUUUUCUUCUGUAUAGAAGUGAGCUGUUUCAGCAAUGUUUAGUCAACCAGUACUGACUGACCUUCUCAAAUCCACAGAUUCAUUUUCAAUAAAUGUUUAACUACUGUUUUCUAAAGCCAAAGGUUCACAACAUGUAAAGCCUACUUUUAAACUUACACUGAUUGUAUAGUUACCAAACAGCAUGGUUGCUGUAGGGCUGCAUGGCUUGUCUACCCUCAACCAUUUGAUAUUAAUUAAUUAAUUAAUGUCAUGUCAGCUUUCUAUACUAAGAGUGAAAUUCAAGAAAUGACUAAUUUAUGCAUACAUUCUAAGGCCUCUAGGCAUGUAGAGGUGGAUUAAUCUCAAUCUUCUAGUGAGUUGGCUCAAAUACAGAAGAUUGAGGACAUGCUAAAUAGGCUGAAAAUAAUUCUCCUUCUCCAUAAUAGAAAAUGCACAUUUGGAUGGACUUGUAUGAAACCAGCAACCUUUCAAAUGAUUGCAAUUUCAGUUCACAAUACUUGUUUCUACCUGUGGGAAUGGAGGAGUAAAACUCAUCUCUCACUCAUCUCACAAACCCCAAAAGUUCAGAGACAAAAUCUCAUCAUCAACUCAAGGACAGUAUAUCUUCCCUGUAAGAUAAGAGACGUUUGUUAUCCUCAGGCAUAGACACCAAAACCUUAGGUAUAUUUUGAACUGAUCUUGACUAUUUUAUACUGAAGUACAGCUCUUCCUGCAGAUUACUGUUGUGCUUGUUAAGUCUUCACAUUCAAGGCAAAUUGGCCCUAAUCAGAGACUCUGUGAUUUAUAACUGCAUGUCAUAUAUCGCCAGUUUAUUCUGCCUGCUCGCUGCUACCCAAUUCCAGUGCACUCAUCCAACAUUUUAUUGGGUCUUUGCUAUUUGCUCUUCUCAACUAUUGAGAUUGCAAAUAGCUGUUCUAAAUGGUUGUAAAGCAUUGCUUACCCUUAAAGAAUGAGCUAACUUCCAUGUUUUGUAAAUUUUCCCAAAUCCACAUGCCUCAAAAGAACAUUUUUAUGAUAGUGGGCUGUUGACCACUUGCCAAAGACAGAAAUAUCUUGUUCAGAAGAGCACUACUACUCAUAUCUAAUAUCUUCAGGAGUGUCUGUAAUACUGGGCAUGAGCAAAUUAGGCCAAAGUUGUUUACACUUUUAGGAGAAGACAUUUAUGCAUGCCUUCCAAGUAUUUAAUGCAUAGAUACGCAAUGUACUCUGCAUGAAGAUAGAAUGUUCAUGUAUGCAAAGACGUGCAUCUUGUAAAAGACUUUUGCCUUGUGUUUGACACCAUUUGGAAUGAUUUCAGUUUGUGGUUUCAACUUAGAAUUCGAGACCGUGCUUAUUAAACUCAUUAAUGUAUUCUACUGAAAAAUAAUUUUUUUAAAUAUUUGUCUUCUUAGAUAAUAUGAAUAUAAAAUAAUAGCUAGUACAAAAAAUCUGAGUAGUACACUCGUAUUCAGGUUUGUGUUUGUAAAAUUAUUGUGUGAAAGGGUGUAUCUAGGGUCAGGAGUUGGACCAACCUGGUUUCCUUGACUAGUGCUUGGAUUUUUCUAUCAAACAUAAACAGCAAAACAUAUUGUUUGAUUUUGCUGCAAAAUCAGAAAGGCUAGAACCAAAAGAAAUGAGAUUCGGGAGGGUCUAGAUUCCCUUGCAGCAGUAUUUGUGUGAAGUGCUUUAACUGCUAGCUUUUGAAGUGGGACUCAGCCUUUGUUUUUCUAUUGAACAGGUUUGGAGGGUUUGUUAUGAAAGUCUCAUUGGGUCCAACUGCCAGGGGCUUUUUCCUUGCAGCUUUUUUAUGGUGCUGGGUAAGGCUGGGGCACGUGGGGUUAACAUGACCUCUGUAAACUAAGUUAAUACUUGAUGGAAUCGGUUACUGAAUAUGUGGUUUUCCUGUACUGAAGAGUCAGGAUGAGAGCAUUCCUGUGCAGCAGGAGAUACUGACCUUGCUCUGUAGAUUGUGUGCGGUUCUCUAUAAUCUACAAUCACACUCACAGAGUGUUGCAAUCAAGUGGUGAAACCGAGCUGACUUCUGAAUUUUGGGGCACAGUUUCAGGAUCGUUAACAUUGAAGUGGGACCACCGCGAACAAUAAGAACAGAACUACCAGCACCAGUGUCUCGAUCAACUCCGUGCCGUUCACGUAACGAGUGCCCAAAGCACCAAAGCAUCCUUCUCUCGCUUCUCCCCGCACAAUGUAGGAGACAGUAUCUGGUUUAAAAAAAAAAAAAAAAAAAAAAAAAAAAAAAAAAAAAAAAAAAAAAAAAAAAGG